rnacentral:rRNA from 1 species
UACGUAGGGUGCGAGCGUUAAUCGGAAUUACUGGGCGUAAAGCGUGCGCAGGCGGUUCGUUGUGUCGGCGGUGAAAGCCCCGGGCUCAACCUCGAGACGCCGAUGGAAACCAUCUGACUAGAGUCCGGAAGAGGAGAGUGGAAUUCCUGGUGUAGCGGUGAAAUGCGCAGAUAUCAGGAAGAACACCCGUGGCUAAGGCGGCUCUCUAGUACGUGACUGACGCUGAGACGCGAAAGCGUGGGGAGCGAACAGG